rnacentral:rRNA from 1 species
GCAUAUCAAUAAGCGGAGGAAAAGAAACCAACAGGGAUUGCUCUAGUAACGGCGAGUGAAGCAGCAAUAGCUCAAAUUUGAAAUCUGGCGCUUCCGGCGUCCGAGUUGUAAUUUGUAGAGGAUGCUUCUGGGCAGCCACCGGUCUAAGUUCCUUGGAACAGGACGUCAUAGAGGGUGAGAAUCCCGUAUGCGACCGGAGGGGCGCCCUAUACGUAGCUCCUUCGACGAGUCGAGUUGUUUGGGAAUGCAGCUCUAAAUGGGAGGUAAAUUUCUUCUAAAGCUAAAUAUUGGCCAGAGACCGAUAGCGCACAAGUAGAGUGAUCGAAAGAUGAAAAGCACUUUGGAAAGAGAGUUAAAAAGCACGUGAAAUUGUUGAAAGGGAAGGGAUUGCAACCAGACUUGCUCGCGGUGUUCCGCCGGUCUUCUGACCGGUCUACUCGCCGCGUUGCAGGCCAGCAUCGUCUGGGGCCGCCGGAUAAGACUUUGGGAAUGUAGCUCCCUCGGGAGUGAUAUAGCCCUUUGUGAUGCGGCGCGUCCCGGGCGAGGUCCGCGCUUCGGCUAGGAUGCUGGCGUAAUGGUUGUAAUCCGCCCGUCUUGAAACACGGACC